rnacentral:rRNA from 1 species
UACAGAGGUCUCGAGCGUUAGGCGGAAUCACUGGGCUUAAAGCGUGUGUAGGCGGAUCGUUAAGUGCCUUGUGAAAUCCCACGGCUCAACCGUGGAACUGCUUGGCAUACUGGCGGUCUUGAGCAACCUAGGGGCGAGCGGAACAAAUGGUGGAGCGGUGAAAUGCGUAGAUAUCAUUUGGAACGCCAAAGGUGAAGACAGGUUGCUGGGGGUGUGCCGACGCUGAGACGCGAAAGCCAGGGGAGCAAACGGG